rnacentral:rRNA from 1 species
GCUUGCUCCUUUGCGUUACGGCGGACGGGUGAGUACACGUGGGCACCUACCUUAUAGUUUGGGAUAACUCCGGGAAACCGGGGCUAAUACCGAAUAAUCUGUUCCACCUCAUGGUGGAACACUGAAAGACGGUUUCGGCUGUCGCUAUAGGAUGGGCCCGCGGCGCAUUAGCUAGUUGGUGAGGUAACGGCUCACCAAGGCGACGAUGCGUAGCCGACCUGAGAGGGUGAUCGGCCACACUGGGACUGAGACACGGCCCAGACUCCUACGGGAGGCAGCAGUAGGGAAUCUUCCACAAUGGGCGAAAGCCUGAUGGAGCAACGCCGCGUGAGUGAAGAAGGUUUUCGGAUCGUAAAACUCUGUUGUAAGGGAAGAACAAGUACAGUAGUAACUGGCUGUACCUUGACGGUACCUUAUUAGAAAGC